GCCUGAGUGGCUCAGUUGGUGAAGCGUCUGACUUCAGCUCAGGUCAUGAUCUCAUGGUUCGUGGGUUUGAGCCCCAUGUUGGGCU
rnacentral:tRNA from 1 species